rnacentral:rRNA from 1 species
GACGAACGCUGGCGGCGUGCUUAACACAUGCAAGUCGAACGGAAAGGCCCUGCUUUUGUGGGGUGCUCGAGUGGCGAACGGGUGAGUAACACGUGAGUAACCUGCCCUUGACUUUGGGAUAACUUCAGGAAACUGGGGCUAAUACCGGAUAGGAGCUCCUGCUGCAUGGUGGGGGUUGGAAAGUUUCGGCGGUUGGGGAUGGACUCGCGGCUUAUCAGCUUGUUUGUGGGGUAGUGGCUUACCAAGGCUUUGACGGGUAGCCGGCCUGAGAGGGUGACCGGCCACAUUGGGACUGAGAUACGGCCCAGACUCCUACGGGAGGCAGCAGUGGGGAAUAUUGCACAAUGGGCGGAAGCCUGAUGCAGCAACGCCGCGUGCGGGAUGACGGCCUUCGGGCUGUAAACCGCUUUCGCAUGUGACGAAGCGUGAGUGACGGUAAUGGGUAAAGAAGCACCGGCUAACUACGUG